rnacentral:rRNA from 1 species
GAAAAAAACACAAGGGGGGAACGCGCUCGCUCAACUAAAAAAACACCCUUUCAAAACCCCAGUCUAAAACCAUUCCCACAUACUUGGAAUAUGUAGUGUAGCGGAGAAAUUCUUAGAUAUUACACAGAACCCCGAUAGCGAAGACAGAUACUAGCAAUUUAUUGACGCUGAUGGUCGAGAGCGUGGGGAGAGAACAGA